GUUUAUAUGGUGUAAGAAAGCACGUGAGGUUUUCGUCUUCAAAGAAAAAUUAAUUUUUUAUAAAUU
rnacentral:tRNA from 2 species